rnacentral:rRNA from 1 species
AUAUUGGACAAUGGACGCAAGUCUGAUCCAGCCAUGCCGCGUGAAGGAUGAAUGCCCUCUGGGUUGUAAACUUCUUUUAUAGGGGAAGAAAGAUACUUUUUUUAAGGUAGUUGACGGUACCCUAUGAAUAAGUACCGGCUAACUCCGUGCCAGCAGCCGCGGUAAUACGGAGGGUGCAAACGUUAUCCGGAUUUACUGGGUUUAAAUGGUGCGUAGGCGGGCAUGUAAGUCAGUGGUGAAAUACCGGAGCUUAACUUCGGAACUGCCAUUGAUAUUAUAUGUCUUUAAUAUUGUGGAGGUAAGCGGAAUAUGUCAUGUCGCGGUGAAAUUGAUAGAUAUGACAUACAACCCCGAUUGCGGAGGCAGCUUGCUACGCAAAUAUUGACGCUGAGGCACGAAAGCGUGGGGAUCAAACA